UACGUAGGUGACAAGCGUUGUCCGGAUUUAUUGGGCGUAAAGCGAGCGCAGGCGGUCUUUUAAGUCUGAUGUGAAAGCCCACGGCUCAACCGUGGAGGGUCAUUGGAAACUGGAAGACUUGAAUGCAGAAGAGGAAAGUGGAAUUCCAUGUGUAGCGGUGAAAUGCGUAGAUAUAUGGAGGAACACCAGUGGCGAAGGCGACUUUCUGGUCUGUAAUUGACGCUGAGGCUCGAAAGCGUGGGGAGCGAACAGG
rnacentral:ncRNA from 4 species